GGGCGGCUCGGGGCUCUCGCAGCCUCGGUGGCCCCGGGGCAGCGGCAGGCGAGGAUGGAGGCGGCAGCGCGCAGGCUGGUCACCUGAACCUCCUUCAGAUCACCUGCAAACCUCUCCACCUUAACCAAAAGAUAAGAUGACUACUCUGUUGAAGAUCUACCUAGGAUUGCAGAAAGUGGACCCUAAUAUUCUUCUGUACAGCAAGGCUAGAAACCCUGAGAGACUGAAGUGAGGGAUAUGCAAAGGAAUGCCAGACUCCUUCAGGGAUCACACAUGGUUAAAAUUCAAUAUCCAGCACUGGAACAGAAAGCUUGGAAAGCCCCACUGAAGAAAGAGCAGCAGAAGCUGUCUAGCUUGGCUCUCUCUAUGCUGAUGAACUCGAGUUAAUCCAGCACAAAUAAACCUUGUCUCUGUCCAUGUCUGUUCCAUUGAGCAUCCAACUCAUCCCUGAUAGGACACAGGGGUGAGAGCAGCACCUGGGAACUCCCAGGGAAUCCUCAGGAAAUCCACACCUUGCAAAGAGAAAGGGUCAACUGGAUAGCAAAGGAUUGGGGGCACGAGGGGUACAAUCCCCCAUCAUCCCUCUGGAGAUGUCACAGAUUCUUUUCUCAACAUUAAUUCAGCUCACCUCAUGUCUCUAGCGUUUUCCAAUUAUUCUACAAGCAACAGAAGAGUUAAAGCAAAAAUUUUCUGAAUAAACCCAAAUUGAGCCCACAAUGUUACACUCCUACCAGAAAGAAAUUUCUUUUCCUAGCACACCUCCAAAACUUUUAACAUUCCCUUCUAGAUAUGGCACUUCAAAGCAGCAUUUCUGUUUCUUCAGUGUGUUCCAGUCGUAUUUCUGCCUUGGCUGUGCACACAAACCCCACAGCCAGGGAGUCUGCCUGUCUCAGCUUUCCUCUGAAAAUCCAGGUUUUGCAUGCACUCGCAGAAACACUGAUUAAAAUAAAAUGGCAAACAGUGACAAAUCAAAUCUCACUCAUCAGCAUUUCAGAUUUAUCAGAGGCUACAGUUUAAUGAUGCUUUAGAGGAAAUUCUCUUCAUUUGCAAGCACACAAAAUCCUGAGGCCCUCUCUGUUUAGUUACUGUGCUUUUUGCAGUUAAACCAUUCUUUCUGUUUACCACAGUAAUACUUGCUCUGAUCUAAUUCCCACAAGUUUUUGUUUAUUUUUGCCAUAUUCCUCUGACUUCUGUAGAUUGUGUGGUUUGUUGCUAUGUUUGUCUUCCUGCUGUCCCUCAGCAUUUCCCUCCCCUGUACCCAUCAUCACCCAUCCUGUAAUUACAGAAAUGUUAUUUUUUGAUAGACAGAUGCAUUGGGUUGCUGGCAGGAGUACUGCCAUUAUGCAGUCCAAAUACUGUGCAGAAUAUUAAAGAAUCAUACAAAUCAA